rnacentral:rRNA from 1 species
AUUGAACGCUGGCGGAAUGCUUUACACAUGCAAGUCGAACGGCAGCACGGACUUCGGUCUGGUGGCGAGUGGCGAACGGGUGAGUAAUGUAUCGGAACGUGCCCAGUCGUGGGGGAUAACGUAGUGAAAAUUACGCUAAUACCGCAUACGAUCUAUGGAUGGAAGCGGGGGAUCGCAAGACCUCGCGCGAUUGGAGCGGCCGAUAUCAGAUUAGGUAGUUGGUGGGGUAAAGGCCCACCAAGCCAACGAUCUGUAGCUGGUCUGAGAGGACGACAAGCCACACUGGAACUGAGACACGGUCCAGACGCCUACGGGAGGCAGCAGUGGGGAAUUUUGGACAAUGGGCGAAAGCCUGAUCCAGCCAUGCCGCGUGCAGGAUGAAGGCCCUCGGGUUGUAAACUGCUUUUGUACAGAACGAAAAGGUUUCUACUAAUACUAGGAGCUCAUGACGGUACUGUAAGAAUAAGCACCGGCUAACUACGUGCCAGCCGCCGCAGUAA